UAUUAUACACAAUCCCUCAUUCCAUCUCAUCUCUCAUCCAUUACAUUUAAUCUCCAGUUUGUUUCUUGCAGUUCAAUGUCCUCUCUUUUGUAUAUUUAUCUUAUACCUUUUCAAUCUUAUUCAAAUUCUCACCAUUUCAAAUUUUCACCUUCUAACAUUCACAUUAAUAAAUCAUGAGAUCAUAGCUCAGAACGAGCUCUUAUAUGAAACGUCACUUCAGAUGUUUACUCACAGUUCAUGUUAAAGUCUGUAAUCCACCUGAAUUGCCAAAGUUCAUUGUUUAUCAGUUCAGUCAUAUACAAAAAUGGAAAAAAGAGAGAAAAAUGCCAGUCCACAGAGAAAUGUCCCCAAUGUAGAGUGAGCUGAAAUGUACUUAAGAUAAGUACAUUUCAGACUUAAGAUACUUUAGCUCUUUAUAUUGAAUUUAUUGUCUACUAGUAAGGUAGGAUUCUGUUUUUUUGUGUAUUGUCUGAUUAUCUCAUACACUGUGUUAUUAUUUUGUUAUAUUGUACCUCAAUGUUGUUCCUGUAGUGUUGGUCUAUGCUUAUUAGUUCUCUCAGGUGACUAAUCAAAGUAAUUUCAGUCUCCCUUGAGUUGGUGACAGAGUUUAUGAAUCAGUUCUGGAGCUGUAAUAACUCCAUUCUGUACUCUUCAUAGAAAUAAUAAUCUUAAUAAAUUAAUCAUAAAUUAGGAGCCGUGAACACUGAACACUUCACACAGGACACAGAGGAGAGUUAAGAUGAACUUUCUUAUUUACAAAUGUAUUUCCAGUCUUUACUUUAAUAAAUAGUUCAUUAUCAGUUUAUCAUUUAUGAUGUUUUAUUUGUUGUUCUGUGUUCUCUCUGGUUGUGACGUUACUAAGCCUCAUGUUCUGUGUUCUUUCUGGUUGUGAUGUGACUAAUCCUUUUGUUCUGUGUUCUCUCUGGUCGUGACGUUACUAAGCCUCAUGUUCUGUGUUCUUUCUGGUCGUGACGUGACUAAUAAUCUUGUUCUGUGUUCUCUCUGGUUGUGAUGUUACUAAGCCUCAUGUUCUGUAUUCUUAUAAGUUGUGUUAUUAUUUUGUUAUAUUGUAACUCAUUGUUGGUCCUAUAGUCUUGGUAUGCUUAUUAAUUCUCUCAGGUGACUAAUCAAAGUAAUUUCAGUCUCCCUUGAAUUGUGAACAGAGAUUAUUAAUCAGUUCUGGAGCUGUAAUACCUCCAUUCUGUACUCUUCAUAGAAUUAAUCAUCUUAAUAAAAUAGCAUUAAUCAUAAAUUAGAAGCUGUGAACACUGAACACUUCACACAGAACACUUUAUCACAUUUCUUUUGUCUUAGUGAGUUUAUCUACACAUCAGUAAUGAAGCAGCAUCUCUUCAUACAGUACUCCUGUUUUUCACAGGAUUCGUUCCUCUCAUAAUGUCUGUCCCUCGUCAGUACUAUCUGAUCCAGCAGGGGAAAACCUGGAGUGAUGCUCAGGCUUACUGCAGAGCCACAUACACUGACCUGGCUAUCAGAAUCAGAAAGGUCUUUAUUGCCAACUGGAUAACUGGAAAACCUGAUAAUGCUCUGAAGAAUGAAAACUGUGGUUAUAUAAAUAACGGUCGGGCUGCUGAUGCUCUGUGCUCAGACAUAAUGCCUUUCUUCUGUUACUCAGAUAUCAAGGUACAAAAAAACACUAAGACUGAAGGUCCGAUCCAAAGAGGAUAUGAAUGAUCCUGCAGUGAUGAUGGCCAUCUUGGAGAAGAUCAACCAGAAACUGAAGGAUGAUUUGGGGACAAAGAACAUCACAGUGAAAUGGCGUAAACAACCAGACGCAGUUGUGUUUCACAAGCUGAAAGAAGGAAAUAAUACAGUACAAUAGAAAUUUAAAAAAUGUGACCUCUGUUACCUGUAAGUUAAUUUUAAGUUACCUUUAGAUUAUGAUGUUAAAUCUCUUUCUAUAACUUGUA